AAAUUGAAGAGUUUGAUCAUGGCUCAGAUUGAACGCUGGUGGCAGGCCUAACACAUGCAAGUCGAACGGUAACAGGAAGAAGCUUGCUUCUUUGCUGACGAGUGGCGGACGGGUGAGUAAUGUCUGGGAAACUGCCUGAUGGAGGGGGAUAACUACUGGAAACGGUAGCUAAUACCGCAUAACGUCGCAAGACCAAAGAGGGGGACCUUCGGGCCUCUUGCCAUCGGAUGUGCCCAGAUGGGAUUAGCUUGUUGGUGGGGUAACGGCUCACC
rnacentral:rRNA from 1 species